AAUCGCCGUAUGCCGAACGGCACGUACGGUGGUGUGAGAGGACGGUAGGCGAACUAAUCGCCUACCUCCUAU
rnacentral:autocatalytically_spliced_intron from 1 species